GUGCUUUUCUCUUCCUUGAAAUUCUGAGCCUCCUGAAAGCUUACAGAAUCCUCAUUAAGUAAAAGAGAGAAGAGUGUCCACAUGCCACAAGUUACAUUUCCAGUCCACUAAGGAAGGCUUUGCUCAAAAGCUGUGACUCUAGUUGUCAAAAACAAUGAAUAAAACAUGGAAACACAGAGUGCGAUGCCAGAAACAAAAUUUGGAACAAUCAGUCUAAGGAAAUCACUCACCAUUGUCUUCUUGGUGGUAAUGAGAAAGAUCCCGAGAGAACUGCCAGCAGGGAGAGCGAAACAGCUCACUCCAUGACAGACCCGGUACUGACUACCAGCAGCUCCCAGAUCCUGGACACAAGAACCCAGUUCUAUAAUACAAGCUAUAAACAGUGUUGUGUCUGCUAGCGCAACAAAAUAAGCCAACUAGAUUUUCUUCUUCGUUAUCUACUGUUCUCCACUUCACUGAAGAUUCCGAUCCACGUCGGGUUUUGUUUCAAGUUCUGUUUCUGCUAUGAACUGUUUUCUGCUUCCAGUCAAAAGAAGAGGAAGAUAUCACAUCAGCUGUCAUCUAUAUGAUCUAUACUGGACUCUGAUUGGAUAAUAUGUAUGGUAGCAUGUUUGAUUACGCCAUGCUCAUGUUUAAAGUUUUUUCUUCAUGUAUUACUACACUUUCUUUUGCUGCUGAGUUUAAAAGUAAAAAAAGUAUA